rnacentral:rRNA from 1 species
GCGAACGCUGGCGGAAGGCCUAACACAUGCCAGUCGCACGGAUCCUUCGGGAUUAGUGGCGGACGGGUGAGUAACACGUGGGAACGUGCCCUUUGGUUCGGAACAACUCAGGGAAACUUGAGCUAAUACCGGAUGUGCCCUUCGGGGGAAAGAUUUAUCGCCAUUGGAGCGGCCCGCGUCUGAUUAGCUAGUUGGUGAGGUAACGGCCCACCAAGGCGACGAUCAGUAGCUGGUCUGAGAGGAUGAUCAGCCACACUGGGACUGAGACACGGCCCAGACUCCUACGGGAGGCAGCAGUGGGGAAUCUUGCGCAAUGGGCGAAAGCCUGACGCAGCCAUGCCGCGUGAAUGAUGAAGGUCUUAGGAUUGUAAAAUUCUUUCAGCGGGGACGAUAAUGACGGUACCCGCAGAAGAAGCUCCGGCUAACUUCGUG